UAUGAACCUAACAAUAACAACAAAACAAAACAAAAAAAGUUAUAACCAUGAAAUAGAAACUAUAAACUUAGAAAUAAUCAAUUGAUCUUUUUGUUCAUAUGCUUCACAAGCUGACCCAUCUGAAACCUCCAAUACACAAAAUACACCAUGCCAAAUCCAAUCAUCACAUAAAGCCAAACAUUCUCUCCCUCACUCUCCUUUGGUGACAUAAUCUCCUCAAUUCUAAAACCCUCCCUCUCUGAAUUCCCCAAAAGACCCUCCAAAAAAUACCCAUACAACACAUACAUCUUAUCCCUCCCUCUCGAAACAACCGAAGUAGGGUACCCUUCACUCUCAAGGUCAAUUUUGUCAUAAACCACACCCUCCCCCCAUCCAUUAUUACUCUUCAGAAGCCACAACUUAUUCGCUUGCGGUGAAACCACCAAAACGACAC